UGGGGAAUAUUGCACAAUGGGCGCAAGCCUGAUGCAGCCAUGCCGCGUGUAUGAAGAAGGCCUUCGGGUUGUAAAGUACUUUCAGCGGGGAGGAAGGGAGUAAAGUUAAUACCUUUGCUCAUUGACGUUACCCGCAGAAGAAGCACCGGCUAACUCCGUGCCAGCAGCCGCGGUAAUACGGAGGGUGCAAGCGUUAAUCGGAAUUACUGGGCGUAAAGCGCACGCAGGCGGUUUGUUAAGUCAGAUGUGAAAUCCCCGGGCUCAACCUGGGAAAUGCAUCUGAUACUGGCAAGCUUGAGUCUCGUAGAGGGGGGUAGAAUUCCAGGUGUGGCGGUGAAAUGCGUAGAGAUCUGGAGGAAUACCGGUGGCGAAGGCGGCCCCCUGGACGAAGACUGACGCUCAGGUGCGAAAGCGUGGGGAGCAAACAGG
rnacentral:rRNA from 1 species